rnacentral:SRP_RNA from 1 species
AUGCACUAGAUGGGGAACUAGCGGUGCCUUGUACCUGCAAUCCGCUAUAGCAGGGUUGAAUUCCCGAUCGAGGGUAUUUGGUUUUUUGGUCUGACUUUAACAAGUGGUGUUGAUUUAUGGGUCUUGCGCAACAGGAAACUACGAACCAUGUCAGGGUGGGAACGCAGCAGCAUUAAGUAGAUCUUUCUGUGUGCCGUAAGGUCACCUGUAAUGAGCUAACUAUUAGAGUAACGCUUAGGAUUAAAUAUUCGACAUCGGGUGUGCUU